rnacentral:rRNA from 1 species
UACAGAGGGUGUGAGCGUUAAUCGGAAUUACUGGGCGUAAAGCGCGCGUAGGCGGCUUUGCAAGUCGGGUGUGAAAUCCCCAGGCUUAACCUGGGAACUGCAUUCGAGACUGCAUUGCUAGAGUAUGGGAGAGGGAAGUGGAAUUUCAGGUGUAGCGGUGAAAUGCGUAGAUAUCUGAAGGAACAUCAGUGGCGAAAGCGACUUCCUGGACCAAUACUGACGCUCAUGUGCGAAAGCGUGGGGAGCAAACAGG